GCCCGCGUAGCUCAACAGGACAGAGCACCGGUCUCCUACACCGGACUUCGUGUGGGUUCGAGUCCCGCCGUGGGCA
rnacentral:tRNA from 1 species